CGGGGUGCACCAGGCGCGAAAACUUUGCAAUGCGGGAAACCGUGACAAGGGAACUCUGAGUGCCCGUAAAAUCGGGCUGUCCAUCGGUUUAAAUAACCGGUGAAGAAAGGGCCGGGCAAGACCGGUGCCAGCCGCCGCGGUAAUACCGGCGGCUCGAGUGGUGGCCACUAUUACUGGGCUUAAAGCGUUCGUAGCUGGUCUGUUAAGUCUCUGGGGAAAUCUUCCGGCUUAACCGGAAGGCGUCUCAGGGAUACUGGCAGACUAGGGACCGGGAGAGGUGAGAGGUACUCCAGGGGUAGGAGUGAAAUCCUGUAAUCCUUGGGGGACCACCUGUGGCGAAGGCGUCUCACCAGAACGGCUCCUACAGUGAGGGACAAAAGCUGGGGGAGCAAACCGGAUUAGAUACCCGGGUAGUCCCAGCUGUAAACGAUGCGCGUUAGGUGUAUCGGUGACCACGAGUCACCGAGGUGCCGAAGAGAAAUCGUGAAACGUGCCGCCUGGGAAGUACGGUCGCAAGGCUGAAACUUAAAGGAAUUGGCGGGGGAGCAC
rnacentral:rRNA from 1 species